rnacentral:rRNA from 1 species
GGGAAAUAUUGGACAAUGGGCGCAAGCCUGAUCCAGCCAUGCCGCGUGAGUGAUGAAGGCCCUAGGGUUGUAAAGCUCUUUCACCGGUGAAGAUAAUGACGGUAACCGGAGAAGAAGCCCCGGCUAACUUCGUGCCAGCAGCCGCGGUAAUACGAAGGGGGCUAGCGAUGUUCGGAAUUACUGGGCGUAAAGCGCACGUAGGCGGAUCGAUCAGUUAGGGGUGAAAUCCCGGGGCUCAACCCCGGAACUGCCUCUAAUACUGUCGAUCUGGAGUUCGAGAGAGGUGAGUGGAAUUCCGAGUGUAGAGGUGAAAUUCGUAGAUAUUCGGAGGAACACCAGUGGCGAAGGCGGCUCACUGGCUCGAUACUGACGCUGAGGUGCGAAAGCGUGGGGAGCAAAC